rnacentral:tRNA from 1 species
AAGACACUAGUAAAAGAGAUAUUACACUGCUUUGUCAGGGCAGUAUCGCGGGUUGAACCCCCGCGUGCCUUA